AGCGAACGCUGGCGGCAGGCCUAACACAUGCAAGUCGAACGGACCCUUCGGGGUUAGUGGCGGACGGGUGAGUAACACGUGGGAACGUGCCUUUAGGUUCGGAAUAGCUCCUGGAAACGGGUGGUAAUGCCGAAUGUGCCCUUCGGGGGAAAGAUUUAUCGCCUUUAGAGCGGCCCGCGUCUGAUUAGCUAGUUGGCGAGGUAAUGGCUCGCCAAGGCGACGAUCAGUAGCUGGUCUGAGAGGAUGACCAGCCACAUUGGGACUGAGACACGGCCCAAACUCCUACGGGAGGCAGCAGUGGGGAAUCUUGCGCAAUGGGCGAAAGCCUGACGCAGCCAUGCCGCGUGAAUGAUGAAGGUCUUAGGAUUGUAAAAUUCUUUCACCGGGGACGAUAAUGACGGUACCCGGAGAAGAAGCCCCGGCUAACUUCGUGCCAGCAGCCGCGGUAAAAC
rnacentral:rRNA from 1 species